rnacentral:rRNA from 1 species
AACGCGAAGAACCUUACCUGGCCUUGACAUCCUAGGAAUCCCGAAGAGAUUUGGGAGUGCCGCAAGGAGCCUAGAGACAGGUGCUGCAUGGCUGUCGUCAGCUCGUGUCGUGAGAUGUUGGGUUAAGUCCCGCAACGAGCGCAACCCUUAUCUCCAGUUGCUACCAUUUAGUUGAGCACUCUGGCGAAACCGCCUCGGAUAACGGGGAGGAAGGUGGGGAUGACGUCAAGUCCUCAUGGCCUUUAUGUCCAGGGCUACACACGUGUUACAAUGCGCGCCACAAAGCGUUGCAAACCCGCGAGGGGGAGCUAAUCGCAAAAAAGCGCGCUCAGUUCGGAUUGCAGUCUGCAACUCGACUGCAUGAAGCCGGAAUCGCUAGUAAUGGCGCAUCAGAACGGCGCCGUGAAUACGUUCCCGGGCCUUGUACACACCGACUGUAC